GCCGAUUCCUCCUCCUUGGUCGCCGCGUCCUUGGCUGGCGUGUGAGUACCGCGGCCCCCGCCGGAAGGAGUCGGGCGCGACAGAGACGCCCGAGGGGCCGGGAGGGCGGGCGGCCCGGGCUGCGCCAGAAGCUCGCGCCGUUAGGGACUGAGGCACAAGUGCGCCAGCGCGGGCUUAGGGGCCGUGGGCCAAGUGCGGCACUUGGGGCGAGCGCAGAGAGGCGGGGCGACGGAGGCCACGUGGCCGGCCUGGAGGGCGUCCGCGGGACUGGGGCGCCGGGAGCACUGGCUCACGGUGCAUCCCGGUCGUGGAAGCCCCUCGGCCAGGCUGCUGGGGCCUAAGGCCUGUGUUUGCUGCCGUCUCCGUGGGAGACCAGACAUCUGCCCCAGCUGUGCCUCUGGCCUGCAGACCUUCGUACACCACGUGUUUAUCAAGCACCAGUUACUGCACGCAUCAGCUGAGCACGGAGGGGAUAGGCACGGACGCAACACUUUUGGAACUUAGACGCUACAGAAAAAUGGCUACAAACUUCCUAGCUCAUGAGAAGAUCUGGUUCGACAAGUUCAAAUAUGACGACGCAGAAAGGAGAUUCUACGAGCAGAUGAACGGGCCUGUGGCAGGUGCCUCCCGCCAGGAGAACGGCGCCAGCGUGAUCCUCCGUGACAUUGCGAGAGCCAGAGAGAACAUCCAGAAAUCCCUGGCUGGAAGCUCAGGCCCCGGGGCCUCCAGCGGCACCAGCGGAGACCACAGUGAGCUCGUCGUCCGGAUUGCCAGUCUGGAAGUGGAGAACCAGAGUCUGCGUGGCGGUGAGACCCCGGGCCAGUGGGUUGGGGCUGUCCCUGGCCCCUGCCAUCUAACCGUGCUCCCCUUGCCCCCCCAGUGGUACAGGAGCUGCAGCAGGCCAUCUCCAAGCUGGAGGCCCGGCUGAACGUGCUGGAGAAGAGCUCGCCUGGCCACCGGGCCACGGCCCCACAGACUCAGCACGUAUCUCCCAUGCGCCAAGUGGAGCCCCCAGCCAAGAAGCCAGCCACACCAGCAGAGGAUGACGAGGAUGAUGACAUUGACCUGUUUGGCAGUGACAAUGAGGAGGAGGACAAGGAGGCGGCACAGCUGCGGGAGGAGCGGCUACGGCAGUACGCGGAGAAGAAGGCCAAGAAGCCUGCACUGGUGGCCAAGUCCUCCAUCCUGCUGGAUGUCAAGCCUGUGAGUGGGCGGGGUGGGGCUUCAGGGGGCCAGGCACUGCCCUGGUGCCCGCCUAGCCGGCUCAGCCUGUGACCCUCCCCCUGCCCUCUGGGUUCUGGGGAGACUUUAAAGCCGAGU
rnacentral:sRNA from 1 species